UACGUAGGGUGCGAGCGUUGUCCGGAUUUAUUGGGCGUAAAGGGCUCGUAGGCGGCGUGUCGCGUCGGGAGUGAAAGCCCGUUGCUUAACGGCGGGUUGGCUUUCGGUACGGGCAUGCUGGAGUGCGGCAGGGGAGACUGGAAUUCCUGGUGUAGCGGUGGAAUGCGCAGAUAUCAGGAGGAACACCGGUGGCGAAGGCGGCUUCCUGGUCUGCGACUGACGCUGUGGCGCGAAAGCUAGGGGAGCAAACGGG
rnacentral:rRNA from 1 species